rnacentral:rRNA from 1 species
UCCACGCCGUAAACGAUGUCUAUUAGCCGUUGGGAGACUUGAUCUCUUAGUGGCGCAGCUAACGCGAUAAAUAGACCGCCUGGGGAGUACGGCCGCAAGGUUAAAACUCAAAUGAAUUGACGGGGGCCCGCACAAGCGGUGGAGCAUGUGGUUUAAUUCGAGGCAACGCGAAGAACCUUACCAAGACUUGACAUCCAGAGAAGUUACUAGAGAUAGUUUCGUGCCUUCGGGAGCUCUGUGACAGGUGCUGCAUGGCUGUCGUCAGCUCGUGUCGUGAG